rnacentral:rRNA from 1 species
GUGCCAGCAGCCGCGGUAAUACGAAGGGUGCAAGCGUUACUCGGAAUUACUGGGCGUAAAGCGCACGUAGGCGGUUACUCAAGUCAGAGGUGAAAGCCUGGAGCUCAACCCCGGAACUGCCUUUGAUACUGGUAGUCUCGAGUCCGGAAGAGGUGAGUGGAAUUCCGAGUGUAGAGGUGAAAUUCGUAGAUAUUCGGAGGAACACCAGUGGCGAAGGCGGCUCACUGGCCCGGUACUGACGCUGAGGUGCGAAAGCGUGGGGAGCAAACAGGAUUAGAUACCCCGGUAGUCC